UUGCUUCAGGAGCACAUAUACCAAAAUUGAAACAAUACAGAGAAGAUGAGCAUGGACCCUGUGCAAGUUUGAGAAGCUAUACUCACAUGCCUGACUCACAAAA